rnacentral:lncRNA from 1 species
UGAGCAGAGAGAGUAUUUGUUAACCCCUUUGAGCCUAAACAGUUGAAUCUCGGCUUGAAAUAAAGCGAGAUCUCAAAAAUCUUUUUUUUUACAACCCGGAAAAUCUUGUUUAUUGUUCUUUUGCCGUAAAAAGUUAAGAGCAUUCACUUAGGGUGUGGAAGAAAUAAGUUGGGGAGAACGAAAAAGAAUUGGUAAGUACCACAACUCUUGAAAAAGAAAAGAAAAACCGAGCAAGCAUAGAAAAAUAUAUGUAUAGAAAAUAUAGAAAAGAAACAUCUGUUUUGUAUAUUUGAUGUGAAAGAAAAGAACAAAAAUAGAAAAAAUGAAAAUGAAUGCUUGCUUGGAAGAAAAAUAGUGAAAAAUAAAAAUUGAGUUGUGGAAUAUGUGUUGUGAAGGUUUCAAAUAAGAAACAAAUGAAACAAAGUCGAGUAGUGUGAAUAAUACUGUGAAUGUCUCUUUUGCAUCGGCACUUUCGUUUCAAUGGCCUUAGAAAUGACCCUUGUUU